GCUGGGAAAGUACCCCAGUGCUGAGCCAGGCUGGGCUGGAAGAUGGCUGGUUCUUUGGGGCCCUGGGCAGGGAUGUGGACUGCCCAGCCUGUCUCUGUCUCUCUCCUGUGAUUUGUGGAGCCUGAGAAUAUGAAACCUCAGAGGUGCAAUGCAGCUCAUCCCCACUGUGCUCCAGCCCUUCCCAACCAUCUGCUGCGUGAGAAAUCAGACCACUGCAUAACUACAGUCUUCCCUCCUGAGGAACUUGUAAGCAAGCAAAAAAAAAAAAAAAAGAAAAAAGAAAAAAAAAUGCAUAUGGGGUAUUCCCCAUUGACAUUUCCUCCCAAAUAACCCCAGUUUCUAAUGGCACAAAGAGACUUUCAAGUCCAAGGUGGUCUGGAUUUGAUCCCCCAUCAGGGAACUAGAUCCUGCAUACCUCAACUAAAGAUCCCACAGGCCACAACAAAGAUCCUGCCUGUAGCAAUGAAGAUUCUGCGUGUGUGCUGCAACGAAGACCCGAGGCAGCAGAU